rnacentral:rRNA from 1 species
GAUGAACGCUGGCGGCGUGCUUAACACAUGCAAGUCGAACGGAAAGGCUCCUGCUUGCAGGGGUACUCGAGUGGCGAACGGGUGAGUAACACGUGGGUGAUCUGCCCUGCACUUCGGGAUAAGCCUGGGAAACUGGGUCUAAUACCGGAUAGGACCACAUUUUGGAUGGUGUGGUGGAAAGUUUUUCGGUGUGGGAUGAGCUCACGGCCUAUCAGCUUGUUGGUGGGGUAAUGGCCUACCAAGGCGUCGACGGGUAGCCGGCCUGAGAGGGUGUACGGCCACAUUGGGACUGAGAUACGGCCCAGACUCCUACGGGAGGCAGCAGUGGGGAAUAUUGCACAAUGGGCGGAAGCCUGAUGCAGCAACGCCGCGUGGGGGAUGACGGCCUUCGGGUUGUAAACUCCUUUCGCUAGGGACGAAGCGCAAGUGACGGUACCUGGAGAAGAAGCACCGGCUAACUACGUG